GACGAACGCUGGCGGCGUGCCUAAUACAUGCAAGUCGACCUUAGUGGCGAACGGGUGAGUAACACGUGGGUAACCUGCCCAUCAGAUGGGGAUAACACUUGGAAACAGGUGCUAAUACCGUAUACUGAUGGAUGGACCCGCGGUGCAUUCGCUAGUUGGUGAGGUAACGGCUAACCAAGGCCACGAUGCAUAGACGAGCUGAGAGAGUGAUCGGCCAAACAGGGACAGAGACAGGGCCCAGACUCCUACGGGAGGCAGCAGUAGGGAAUCUUGGGCAAUGGACGAAAGUCUGACCGAGCAACGCCGCGUGAGUGAAGGAGGUUUUCGGAUCGUAAAACUAUGUUGUUAAAGAAGCGGUAUCUAACCAGAAAGCCACGGCUAACUACGUGCCAGCCGCCGCGGUAAUUC
rnacentral:rRNA from 1 species